rnacentral:rRNA from 1 species
GAAACCGUGUACGUACAAGCAGUGGGAGCCUCUUUAUGGGGUGACUGCGUACCUUUUGUAUAAUGGGUCAGCGACUUAUAUUCUGUAGCAAGGUUAACCGAAUAGGGGAGCCGAAGGGAAACCGAGUCUUAACUGGGCGUUAAGUUGCAGGGUAUAGACCCGAAACCCGGUGAUCUAGCCAUGGGCAGGUUGAAGGUUGGGUAACACUAACUGGAGGACCGAACCGACUAAUGUUGAAAAAUUAGCGGAUGACUUGUGGCUGGGGGUGAAAGGCCAAUCAAACCGGGAGAUAGCUGGUUCUCCCCGAAAGCUAUUUAGGUAGCGCCUCGUGAAUUCAUCUCCGGGGGUAGAGCACUGUUUCGGCAAGGGGGUCAUCCCGACUUACCAACCCGAUGCAAACUGCGAAUACCGGAGAAUGUUAUCACGGGAGACACACGGCGGGUGCUAACGUCCGUCGUGAAGAGGGAAACAACCCAGACCGCCAGCUAAGGUCCCAAAGUCAUGGUUAAGUGGGAAACGAUGUGGGAAGGCCCAGACAGCCAGGAUGUUGGCUUAGAAGCAGCCAUCAUUUAAAGAAAGCGUAAUAGCUCACUGGUCGAGUCGGCCUGCGCGGAAGAUGUAACGGGGCUAAACCAUG